UCAAGUUUUUAAGGGCACACGGUGGAUGCCUUGGCAUUAGGAGCCGAAGAAGGACGUAGGAAUCUGCGAUAAGCCUGGGGGAGUUGAUAACCGAGCGUUGAUCCCAGGAUGUCCGAAUGGGGAAACCCCGCACAACGCUGUCAUGGUGAUUGUGUGACCCGCAUCUGAACACAUAGGGUGCGUGGGGGGAACGCGGGGAAGUGAAACAUCUCAGUACCCGCAGGAAGAGAAAACAAGAGUGAUUCCGUUAGUAGUGGCGAGCGAACGCGGAUCAGGCUAAACCGUUUCCAUGUGUGAUAGCCGGCGGGCGUUGCAUGGGCGGGGUUGUGGGACUUUCCGUUCUGGUUCUGCCGGGCCAGUGAGGUGAGAGUGCGUGCAUAGGUGAACGGUCUUGAAAGGCCGGCCAGAGAGGGUGUGAGCCCCGUAACCGUAAUGUUGUGUGCCGCCUGGAGAGUAUCCCAAGUAGCACGGGGCCCGAGAAAUCCCGUGCGAAUCUGUCAGGACCACCUGAUAAGCCUAAAUACUUCCUAAUGACCGAUAGCGGACCAGUACCGUGAGGGAAAGGUGAAAAGUACCCCGGGAGGGGAGUGAAACAGUACCUGAAACCGUGUGCUUACAAUCCGUCGGAGCAGUCUUGUUACUGUGACGGCGUGCCUUUUGAAGAAUGAGCCUGCGAGUUAGUGUUACGUCGCGAGGUUAACCCGUGUGGGGUAGCCGUAGCGAAAGCGAGUCUGAAUAGGGCGAGUGUAGUGGCGUGAUCUAGACCCGAAGCGGAGUGAUCUACCCAUGGCCAGGUUGAAGCGACGGUAAGACGUCGUGGAGGACCGAACCCACUUCAGUUGAAAAUGGAGGGGAUGAGCUGUGGGUAGGGGUGAAAGGCCAAUCAAACUCCGUGAUAGCUGGUUCUCCCCGAAAUGCAUUUAGGUGCAGCGUUGCGUGUUUCUUGCCGGAGGUAGAGCUACUGGAUGGCCGAUGGGCCCUACAAGGUUACUGACGUCAGCCAAACUCCGAAUGCCGGUAAGUCAGAGCGCAGCAGUGAGACUGUGGGGGAUAAGCUUCAUAGUCGAGAGGGAAACAGCCCAGACCACCAACUAAGGCCCCUAAGCGUGUGCUAAGUGGGAAAGGAUGUGGAGUUGCGAAGACAACCAGGAGGUUGGCUUAGAAGCAGCCAUCCUUGAAAGAGUGCGUAAUAGCUCACUGGUCAAGUGAUUCCGCGCCGACAAUGUAGCGGGGCUCAAGUACACCGCCGAAGUUGUGGAUUUCACACAGUACCCUAGCCUUCGUGGUUCAGGGGUGUGGAGUGGUAGGGGAGCGUCGUGUGGGCAGUGAAGUCGCGGUGGAAACCAGCGGUGGAGCCUACACGAGUGAGAAUGCAGGCAUGAGUAGCGAAAGACGGGUGAGAAACCCGUCCGCCGAAUGAUCAAGGGUUCCAGGGUCAAGCUAAUCUGCCCUGGGUAAGUCGGGACCUAAGGCGAGGCCGACAGGCGUAGUCGAUGGACAACGGGUUGAUAUUCCCGUACCGGCGAAAAACCGCCCAUGCCAAGCGGGGGAUACUAACCGCCCGGAGCCUGCCCGCUCACCCUUGUGGUGUUGUGGGUUUUGGCCGAGCGCGGGACCUGAUCCCGGGAGGUAAGCGUAUUAACAGGUGUGACGCAGGAAGGUAGCCGGGCCGGGCGAUGGUUGCCCCGGUCUAAGGAUGUAGGGUCAGGGAUAGGCAAAUCCGUUCCUGUGUGCUUCGAGCACGUUCCUGAGAUCUGAUGGGACUCCCGUAAGGGGGGAUCCGGUGAUCCUAUGCUGCCAAGAAAAGCAUCGACGCGAGGUUUUAGCCGCCCGUACCCCAAACCGACACAGGUGAUCAGGUAGAGAAUACCAAGGCGAUCGAGAGAAUUAUGGUUAAGGAACUCGGCAAAAUGCCCCCGUAACUUCGGGAGAAGGGGGGCCUGCCCCGUGAUGGAGACUUGCUCUCCGUGAGCGGGUGUGGGCCGCAGAGACCAGGGGGAAGCGACUGUUUACUAAAAACACAGGUCCGUGCGAAGUCGCAAGACGAUGUAUACGGACUGACUCCUGCCCGGUGCUGGAAGGUUAAGAGGACCGGUUAGCCACUUGUGGCGAAGCUGAGAAUUUAAGCCCCAGUAAACGGCGGUGGUAACUAUAACCAUCCUAAGGUAGCGAAAUUCCUUGUCGGGUAAGUUCCGACCUGCACGAAUGGAGUAACGACUUCCCCGCUGUCUCAACCAUAAACUCGGCGAAAUUGCAGUACGAGUAAAGAUGCUCGUUACGCGCAGCAGGACGGAAAGACCCCGAGACCUUUACUAUAGUUUGGUAUUGGUGUUCGGAGUGGCUUGUGUAGGAUAGG
rnacentral:rRNA from 1 species